UACGGGGGGGGCAAGCGUUGUUCGGAAUUACUGGGCGUAAAGGGCUCGUAGGUGGCCAACUAAGUCAGACGUGAAAUCCCUCGGCUUAACCGGGGAACUGCGUCUGAUACUGGAUGGCUAGAGAUUGGGAGAGGGAUGCGGAAUUCCAGGUGUAGCGGUGAAAUGCGUAGAUAUCUGGAGGAACACCGGUGGCGAAGGCGGCAUCCUGGACCAACACUGACACUGAAGAGCGAAAGCCAGGGGAGCAAACAGG
rnacentral:rRNA from 1 species